rnacentral:misc_RNA from 1 species
AGGAGGAUUUGUGACUCACUGUGGAUGGAAUUCGAUUCUUGAAGGAAUAACAUCUGGGGUUCCGAUGGUCACAUGGCCUGCAGCGGCUGAGCAAUUCUAUAAUGAAAAGUUAGUGACACAGAUACUAAAAAUUGGCAUAGGUGUUGGUGCUCAGCAAUGGAAUAUGUAUGGACAUGGCAUUAUGAGUGAAUCUAUAGAAAAGGCAGUAACUCAAAUUAUGAAAGGUUCAGAAGCAGAAGAAAUGAGGAGAAAAGCGAAGGCACUUGCAAAGAUGGCAAGGAUGGCUGUUGAAGAAGGUGGAUCCUCCUGCUCUCAUCUUAAUGCUUUGACUGAGGAACUGAUAUUCAAUCUUCAUUAAACAAAUUAUAUUGGUGAGCAUUAUCCAGCCAAAAUCGAUGAAAUAAGAUUAAUACUGUUCUUAGCUAGUUAUCAUCAAUUGGGUGUAUAUGAAUGAUUUUAAACCAAAUUUUUUGUGGAUUUAUUAGGAUUUUCCUCGUCAAUUUUAUGGUCCAUAAAAGAUUAAUAUCUUCAGAUUCGUAGCUACCCUUCUCAACAAUAUUUUUUCUAAGUUUUGAAUCUGAGUCAGUCCAUUGAAAGCACAAUGGGCCUUCUUGCUGCACCCAACACAUGAUGAUAUUUUGAAUGGGCUUACAUGUGAGUGAGUUAAGUAAUGUUUUACAUGAUUGAAUAUCAUUAUUAUGAUUUAUAAUUUUAGAAAGUUUUGAAUUUAGGCUAUGUUUGAUACAAUAUAAUUAAAGAUGCAAUAUAAUCGUGAUUACAUUAUAUACUUAAUUACCUCUUUUAGUAACGCAAAAAAAAAUUAAUAUAA